UAAGUGGAGGAAAAGAAACUCCCAGGAUUCACCUAGUAACGGUGAGUGAACCGGGAAAAGCCCAACUUGGAAAUCUGGGGGGCACGCCCUCCGAAUUGUNGUCUAGAGAAGCGUCCUCCGNCGCGGACCGGGCCCAAGUUCCCUGGAACGGGACGUCAGAGCAGGGUGAGAGCCCCGUCGAUCCCGGACCCUGCUACUCCACGAGGCGCUGUNGACGAGUCGGGUUGNUUGGGAAUGCAGCCCUAAUUUGGAGGUAAAUUCCUUCGAAGGCUAAAUAUUGGCGAGAGACCGAUAGCGAACAAGUACCGCGAGGGAAAGAUGAAAAGAACUUUGAAAAGAGAGUUAAAGAGUGCUUGAAAUUGUUGAGGGGGAAGCGAAUGGUGGCAGUGAGUGCACCGCGGUUGUAUGUGGGACGCCCUGGUGGCCCGCUAAUCAACGCGAGGUGCUUGUCAGCGUUUGGUCAGCGCGGCGGGAGAAAAAGCCAAGGGUUGAUACCUUGCGCAUCGGCGCGUUGACUGAGGACCAAGUGUGCGCCUCGAGCGGGCUUCGGCACCUGCACACUCGGACGCUGGCGCAAUGCCUCCAUCCGACCCGUCUUGAAACACGGACCAAGGAGUCUAACAUGUAUGCGAGCCGGUGGGUGGAAAACCCAUGAGGCGCAAGUAACCUGACUGGUGGGAUCUCUUCCGAGUGCACCAUCGACCGACCAUGAUCUUCUGUGAAAGGUUUGAGUGCGAGCAUACCUGUUGGGACCCGAAAGAUGGUGAACUAUGCCUGAGCAGGGCGAAGCCAGAGGAAACUCUGGUGGAGGCUCGUAGCGAUACUGACGUNCAAAUCGUUCGUCAGACUUGGGUAUAGGGGCGAAAGACUAAUCGAACCAUCUAGUAGCUGGUUCCCUCCGAAGUUUCCCUCAGGAUAGCUGGAGCUCGUUCAGUUUUAUC
rnacentral:rRNA from 1 species